GAUGAACGCUGGCGGCGUGCCUAAUACAUGCAAGUCGAGCGAGCAGACGAGGAGCUUGCUCCUCUGACGUUAGCGGCGGACGGGUGAGUAACACGUGGAUAACCUACCUAUAAGACUGGGAUAACUUCGGGAAACCGGAGCUAAUACCGGAUAACAUAUUGAACCGCAUGGUUCAAUAGUGAAAGACGGUUUUGCUGUCACUUAUAGAUGGAUCCGCGCCGCAUUAGCUAGUUGGUAAGGUAACGGCUUACCAAGGCAACGAUGCGUAGCCGACCUGAGAGGGUGAUCGGCCACACUGGAACUGAGACACGGUCCAGACUCCUACGGGAGGCAGCAGUAGGGAAUCUUCCGCAAUGGGCGAAAGCCUGACGGAGCAACGCCGCGUGAGUGAUGAAGGUCUUCGGAUCGUAAAACUCUGUUAUUAGGGAAGAACAAAUGUGUAAGUAACUAUGCACGUCUUGACGGUACCUAAUCAGAAAGCCACGGCUAACUACGUG
rnacentral:rRNA from 1 species